GAAAUUUGCCAACCGAGUCUUUUUGACUCUAUUGUCCAUAUCCUUGUUGAAUUUCGAGUCGGCCUUCAUCAUUGUUCAAGUUUCGAAAGCUGAAAUUCACAGGUCAAGAAACGAAGCUAUUUUACGGGUUCAAGGGAGUUGAUAUACAUCACAAUACAUGAUGAUAUACACAAGUAUACAUUCACUGUAUACAACUGAAGCAAUGACAAAAAUGGGCCAAAAAUUAACAUACAUGUUCAGAUGAUGCACCAGGC
rnacentral:lncRNA from 1 species